rnacentral:rRNA from 1 species
AUGCAUGUCUAAGUAUAAGCAACUAUACUGUGAAACUGCGAAUGGCUCAUUAAAUCAGUUAUCGUUUAUUUGAUAGUACCUUACUACUUGGAUAACCGUGGUAAUUCUAGAGCUAAUACAUGCGAAAAACCCCGACUUCGGAAGGGGUGUAUUUAUUAGAUAAAAAACCAAUGCCCUUCGGGGCUUCCUGGUGAUUCAUAAUAACUUAACGAAUCGCAUGGCCUUGCGCCGGCGAUGGUUCAUUCAAAUUUCUGCCCUAUCAACUUUCGAUUGUAGAGUAGUGGUCUACAAUGGUUUCAACGGGUAACGGGGAAUUAGGGUUCGACUCCGGAGAGGGAGCCUGAGAAACGGCUACCACAUCCAAGGAAGGCAGCAGGCGCGCAAAUUACCCAAUCCCGACACGGGGAGGUAGUGACAAUAAAUACUGAUACAGGGCUCUUUUGGGUCUUGUAAUUGGAAUGAGUACAAUUUAAAUCCCUUAACGAGGAACAACUGGAGGGCAAGUCUGGUGCCAGCAGCCGCGGUAAUUCCAGCUCCAGAAGCGUAUAUUAAAGUUGUUGCAGUUAAAAAGCUCGUAGUUGAAUUUUGGGCCUGGCUGGCCGGUCCGCCUCACCGCGUGCACUGGUCCGGCCGGGCCUUUCCUCCUGGGGAUCCGCAUGCCCUUCACUGGGUGUGUUGGGGAACCAGGACUUUUACUUUGAAAAAAUUAGAGUGUUCAAAGCAGGCCUUUGCUCGAAUACAUUAGCAUGGAAUAAUAGAAUAGGACGGCUUUCCUAUUUUGUUGGUUUCUAGGGAAGCCGUAAUGAUUAAUAGGGAUAGUCGGGGGCAUCAGUAUUCAAUUGUCAGAGGUGAAAUUCUUGGAUUUAUUGAAGACUAACUACUGCGAAAGCAUUUGCCAAGGAUGUUUUCAUUAAUCAGUGAACGAAAGUUAGGGGAUCGAAGACGAUCAGAUACCGUCGUAGUCUUAACCAUAAACUAUGCCGACUAGGGAUCGGGCGAUGUUACUAUCUUGACUCGCUCGGCACCUUACGAGAAAUCAAAGUUUUUGGGUUCUGGGGGGAGUAUGGUCGCAAGGC